UACGUAGGGUGCGAGCGUUGUCCGGAAUUAUUGGGCGUAAAGAGCUUGUAGGCGGUUUGUCGCGUCUGCUGUGAAAGUCCGGGGCUCAACUCCGGAUCUGCGGUGGGUACGGGCAGACUAGAGUGAUGUAGGGGAGACUGGAAUUCCUGGUGUAGCGGUGAAAUGCGCAGAUAUCAGGAGGAACACCCGUGGCGAAGGCGGCAUCCUGGACCGACACUGACGCUGAGGAGCGAAAGCCAGGGGAGCAAACGGG
rnacentral:rRNA from 1 species